CUUGACUUGUGGCGAUACUUUCGUUGCAUGUGUGUUCCCGGCACAAGUGUCGUUUAUCGCACAGGUAUCGACUUUUAAGCAGUGAUCUUUGACCGCAUUACCCGGAAGUAUUUUCUUUCUGGAGCUUAGAACUCUUUGGAGAUUUGUUUCCGUUUUCUUUGGAAGUUCGUGUGUCGACGGCGUGGUUGGGCUGGGUUGAGUAGGUGAAGAAUCGGUGUUUCGCAGCUGGUCCUGUAGUUUGGGACGAAAAUG